UACAGAGGUGGCAAGCGUUGUUCGGAAUUACUGGGCGUAAAGGGCGCGUAGGCGGUCUUGUAAGUCUUGUGUGAAAUCCCUCGGCUUAACUGAGGAACUGCACGGGAUACUGCGAGACUUGAGAUCGGGAGAGGGAAGCGGAAUUCCGGGUGUAGCGGCGAAAUGCGUAGAUAUCCGGAGGAACACCGGUGGCGAAGGCGGCUUCCUGGACCGACACUGACGCUGAGGCGCGAAAGCUAGGGGAGCAAACGGG
rnacentral:rRNA from 1 species